UGGAAUUUUUGUGACUUUUUUCAAUGCCGUUUGUAUCAGAUGCUGAUUUCUGCCUGUUAGAUUAGGUGGCAAUGACUACUUUAACUGUAGUUAUUUGUAGUUCAGCAGGCUCUGCAAAAUCUUUUCUGACAUACUGUGCAGCUCUACAAUAUUGCCUGUAGAGUCCACCUAGGUAAACCAGACAAGAAACAGGACUGGACAAUUAAAUCUUAAUCUAUUUAUUGUAUCUUGAAUAAAUCCAUUACCAAAACACAAGAAUCUGUCUUCAGAUUUCUACUAUCCUGAGAUGGUAAAAGUUGAGAAGGAUAAGUGCUAAUUUUCUACAUCACCCAUCUCAGAAUUCCUGAUAGAGCUAGUGAAUACAACAUCUGCAAACAAUAGUAAUCCUACAGAUACAAGCCAUAAUAUGGAUCCAUUAUGUGCAAGACAUAUUCUUCAAAAGAUCAGCUGAGAACCAACAUAAAACCAUCAACAUCUAGCAUGGAAUCAGUUUCACAAGAGAAGAUGAGAAGAAUAGCAACAUCUUUCUGAACAUACUCAUCAUCAAGCAAAAUAAUAGCAAACCAGAAACUCAAAUCUACCCCAUUCUCCCAUGAUGUUACCUAUCCUGGUAAUGAAAUGUCUGCAGGAAAAGAAGCUAGCUUGGAGAACUUCAAGAACCCAAGCAUUUUAAUAAAGUACAAAGUUGUGAAACAUA